rnacentral:rRNA from 1 species
GUUUGAUCCUGGCUCAGCCUGAACGCUGGCGGCGUGGCUAAGACAUGCAAGUCGUACGGAUGUAGCAAUACAUCAGUGGCGAACGGGUGAGUAAUGUAUCGCUAAUGUACCCCGGAUUCUGGGAUAGCUGCCCGAAAGGGCAGGUAAUACCAGAUGAUAUACCCUUGUCGCAUGGCGAGGGUCUCAAAGGAGCAAUCCGCUCUGGGAGCAGGCGAUAUCGUAUCAGCUAGUUGGUGAGGUAACGGCUCACCAAGGCGACGACGUGUAGCCGGACUGAGAGGUUGGCCGGCCACAUUGGGACUGAGACACUGCCCAGACUCCUACGGGGGGCUGUAGUAACGAAUCUUCCGCAAUGCACGAAAGUGUGACGGAGCGACGCCGCGUGUGGGACGAAGCCCCUCGGGGUGUAAACCACUGUCAGGGGAUAGAAAGUUCUGAUCAUCCCCAGAGGAAGGCACGGCUAACUCUGUGCCAGCAGCCGCGGUAAGACAGAGGUGCCAAGCGUUAGGCGGAAUCACUGGGCUUAAAGCGUGUGUAGGCGGAUCGUUAAGUGCUUUGUGAAAUCCCAUGGCUUAACCAUGGAACUGCUUGGCAUACUGGCGAUCUUGAGCGACCUAGGGGCGAGCGGAACAAAUGGUGGAGCGGUGAAACGCGUAGAUAUCAUUUGGAACGCCAAAGGUGAAAACAGCUCGCUGGGGGUCUGCUGACGCUGAGACACGAAAGCCAGGGGAGCGAACGGGAUUAGAUACCCCGGUAGUCCUGGCCGUAAACGAUGUCGACUAGAUCGUGGUACCUCUGACGGUUUCACGGUCGAAGCAAAAGUGCUAAGUCGACCGCCUGGGAAGUACGGUCGCAAGGCUAAAACUCAAAGGAAUUGAC